AAUCUCCAAUUUCUUCACUCCUUUUUAGAUCUUUCUUUCUUCACCGAUUCCUUACCUUUUUGUUUCUAGAUUUUCUUUUGCGGUGUAAUGUAGUGUACAGCGAGGGAGAGAUGUUGGCUGGACAGGUGGUGAAAGUAAAGAGUGAGACACUCCAGACAUGCAUGACAUGUCCUCUUUGUAAGAAGUUGCUAAGGGAUGCUACCACUAUAU
rnacentral:misc_RNA from 1 species